rnacentral:rRNA from 1 species
UGCAAACUGCGAAUACCGGAGAAUGUUAUCACGGGAGACACACGGCGGGUGCUAACGUCCGUCGUGAAGAGGGAAACAACCCAGACCGCCAGCUAAGGUCCCAAAGUCAUGGUUAAGUGGGAAACGAUGUGGGAAGGCCCAGACAGCCAGGAUGUUGGCUUAGAAGCAGCCAUCAUUUAAAGAAAGCGUAAUAGCUCACUGGUCGAGUCGGCCUGCGCGGAAGAUGUAACGGGGCUAAACCAUGCACCGAAGCUGCGGCAGCGACACUAUGUGUUGUUGGGUAGGGGAGCGUUCUGUAAGCCUGUGAAGGUGGCCUGUGAGGGUUGCUGGAGGUAUCAGAAGUGCGAAUGCUGACAUAAGUAACGAUAAAGCGGGUGAAAAGCCCGCUCGCCGGAAGACCAAGGGUUCCUGUCCAACGUUAAUCGGGGCAGGGUGAGUCGACCCCUAAGGCGAGGCCGAAAGGCGUAGUCGAUGGGAAACAGGUUAAUAUUCCUGUACUUGGUGUUACUGCGAAGGGGGGACGGAGAAGGCUAUGUUGGCCGGGCGACGGUUGUCCCGGUUUAAGCGUGUAGGCUGGUUUUCCAGGCAAAUCCGGAAAACCAAGGCUGAGGCGUGAUGACGAGGCACUACGGUGCUGAAGCGACAAAUGCCCUGCUUCCAGGAAAAGCCUCUAAGCAUCAGGUAACAUCAAAUCGUACCCCAAACCGACACAGGUGGUCAGGUAGAGAAUACCAAGGCGCUUGAGAGAACUCGGGUGAAGGAACUAGGCAAAAUGGUGCCGUAACUUCGGGAGAAGGCACGCUGAUAUGUAGGUGAAGCGACUUGCUCGUGGAGCUGAAAUCAGUCGAAGAUACCAGCUGGCUGCAACUGUUUAUUAAAAACACAGCACUGUGCAAACACGAAAGUGGACGUAUACGGUGUGACGCCUGCCCGGUGCCGGAAGGUUAAUUGAUGGGGUUAGCGGUAACGCGAAGCUCUUGAUCGAAGCCCCGGUAAACGGCGGCCGUAACUAUAACGGUCCUAAGGUAGCGAAAUUCCUUGUCGGGUAAGUUCCGACCUGCACGAAUGGCGUAAUGAUGGCCAGGCUGUCUCCACCCGAGACUCAGUGAAAUUGAACUCGCUGUGAAGAUGCAGUGUACCCGCGGCAAGACGGAAAGACCCCGUGAACCUUUACUAUAGCUUGACACUGAACAUUGAGCCUUGAUGUGUAGGAUAGGUGGGAGGCUUUGAAGUGUGGACGCCAGUCUGCAUGGAGCCGACCUUGAAAUACCACCCUUUAAUGUUUGAUGUUCUAACGUUGGCCCGUAAUCCGGGUUGCGGACAGUGUCUGGUGGGUAGUUUGACUGGGGCGGUCUCCUCCUAAAGAGUAACGGAGGAGCACGAAGGUUGGCUAAUCCUGGUCGGACAUCAGGAGGUUAGUGCAAUGGCAUAAGCCAGCUUGACUGCGAGCGUGACGGCGCGAGCAGGUGCGAAAGCAGGUCAUAGUGAUCCGGUGGUUCUGAAUGGAAGGGCCAUCGCUCAACGGAUAAAAGGUACUCCGGGGAUAACAGGCUGAUACCGCCCAAGAGUUCAUAUCGACGGCGGUGUUUGGCACCUCGAUGUCGGCUCAUCACAUCCUGGGGCUGAAGUAGGUCCCAAGGGUAUGGCUGUUCGCCAUUUAAAGUGGUACGCGAGCUGGGUUUAGAACGUCGUGAGACAGUUCGGUCCCUAUCUGCCGUGGGCGCUGGAGAACUGAGGGGGGCUGCUCCUAGUACGAGAGGACCGGAGUGGACGCAUCACUGGUGUUCGGGUUGUCAUGCCAAUGGCACUGCCCGGUAGCUAAAUGCGGAAGAGAUAAGUGCUGAAAGCAUCUAAGCACGAAACUUGCCCCGAGAUGAGUUCUCCCUGAGACUUAGAGUCUCCUGAAGGAACGUUGAAGACGACGACGUUGAUAGGCCGGGUGUGUAAGCGCAGCGAUGCGUUGAGCUAACCGGUACUAAUGAACCGUGAGG